UACGGAGGGUGCAAACGUUGUCCGGAAUCACUGGGCGUAAAGCGCAUGUAGGUGGCUUUGUAAGUGAACGAUUAAAGACCGACGCUCACCGUCGGGAAGGUUGUUCAUACUGCAAGGCUUGAGGAAGGCAGGGGCAAGCGGAAUUAUCGGUGUAGGGGUAAAAUCCGUAGAUAUCGAUAAGAACACCAAUGGCGAAGGCAGCUUGCUAGGCCUUUUCUGACACUGAGAUGCGAAAGCGUGGGGAGCGAACGGG
rnacentral:rRNA from 1 species